rnacentral:lncRNA from 1 species
UUCCAAUAGGACGGAACAUGACAUGAAACUGCUUGCAAAACAGUGUUAUGAAAAGUAAAGUUUUUUUUUUUUGAGAAAAAUGUUGCAUGCUUUCUGUUUCGUUUAUUUCAUUUAGAAAUAAGCUUAGCUGAAAAUGUGAAUCAACUAGGAUUCGAACUUGGGAUCUCGGGUACCAACCAUUAAGUCCUUUGCCAUUUACUUUAGGAACGGUCGGUGUUAUGAAAAGUAAAGUCGGUAGGGCAAAAGGGACAAUGAGUACAGAGAAGAACAUCUUUUACGUGACACCAUAUCUAGCUAACGAUACAUGAU